UAUACACGGACUUGGAAGCUAUUUUUGUAGGCAACUGUGAGGUUGGGAACAACAAGCGCCGGAAAGAAGAAAAGAUGUGAAGAAAUUUCCGAUGAAGUCUCGAAGAAGGCCAAGUGCGGUGGUGGCUCUACACUUUCACCGGAGAAGGAACUACCCAAAGCCAAGCUUCGAGACAAGAUCACGACUCUACAGCAAAUUGUGUCUCCCUUUGGAAAGACGGACACUGCUUCUGUGCUUCAAGAAGCCAUCACUUAUAUAAACUUUUAUCAAGAGCAAGUAAAGGUAAC